rnacentral:misc_RNA from 1 species
UUUCCGUAGGUGAACCUGCGGAAGGAUCAUUAUUGAAAAUAAACCUGAUGAGUUGCUGCUGGCUCUCUAGGGAGUAUUGUGCACACUUGUCAUCUUUAUAUCUCCACCUGUGCACCUUUUGUAGACCUGGAUAUCUCUCUGAGUGCUUAGCACUUCAGGUUUGAGGAUUGACUUUAUUGUUCUCUCUUUAUAUUUCCAGGCCUAUGUUUCUUCAUAUACACAUUGUAUGUUAUAGAAUGUAGUAAUUAGGCCUUUGUGCCUAUAAACCUAUACAACUUUCAGCAACGGAUCUCUUGGCUCUC